rnacentral:rRNA from 1 species
UACGUAGGGGGCGAGCGUUGUCCGGAGUUACUGGGCGUAAAGCGCACGCAGGCGGUCUGCUAAGUUUGGAGUGACAGUUGGUGGCUUAACUGCCAAAGUGCUUCGAAAACUGACAGACUUGAGGGCUUCAGAGGGACACGGAAUCCGGGUGGAGUGGUGAAAUGCGUAGAGAUCCGGAGGAACACCAAAGGCGAAGGCAGUGUCCUGGGGAGUACCUGACGCUCGAGGUGCGAAAGCCAGGGGAGCGAACGGG